UCUCCACGCCAGGGUAUUACGAGUCAAACUUAAAACCCAAAGGACUUGACGGUGUCCCACCCACCUAGAGGAGCCUGUUCUAUAAUCGAUAAUCCCCGUUUUACCUAACCAUUUUUUGCCUAAUCAGUCUGUAUACCUCCGUCGUAAGCUUACCAUGUGAACGCCUAUAGUAAGCCCAAUGGCCACCCGCCAAUACGUCAGGUCAAGGUGCAACUUAUACCAUGGUAAGUAAUGGGCUACAAUUUCUAAGAUAGAACAAACGAAAGGCUGUUUGAAACCCCAGUCACGAAGGAGGAUCUAACAGUAAAAAGAAAAUAGAGAGUUCUUUUUAACCUGGCACUGGGACGCGUACACACCGCCCGUCACCCUCUUCAACAAUCUUUUUCUCGAUAACUAACUAAUUAAUUUCAUCUUAGAAGAGGCAAGUCGUAACACGGUAGGGGUACUGGAAAGUGCCCCUGGCAUACACCAAAAUGUAGCUUAACAAAAGCCCUUCGCUUACACCGAAGUAAUAUCUGUUAAAUUCGGAUCAUUUUGAGCCUAAAAUCUAGCCCCACCCACUCAUAUGCCUCUUUCAAUCAAUCAACUAAAAAUAAACCAUUUUAACUUCUUAGUACAGGCGAUCGAAAAAUUUCUAUGGCGCUUAAAAUUCAGUACCGCAAGGGAAUAGUGAAAUAAUAAUGAAACAACCUUAAAGCUUCAAAUAGCAGAGAAUUAACCUCG
rnacentral:rRNA from 1 species